AAAGGAGUCGCGUUCCUUUUUCCGUGGGAAGGAGGUCAGCGCCGGCGGCGUGGGUGUCGCAGCAGUUCCGUACUCUGGUCUCCCUGUUGUGUUGAUCCGAAAGGUUCGUCCUAUCCAGAUUUUGUGCCUGAUGAGGAAAAUCCCCCUGCUCCCAUCAUGUUCUGGUGUUUCGGCUCCAGAUAAUACUUUCUGUGUGUAAUAACUCCCGCAUUCUGAGGAGGCUUGUCGGCACGGCGUGCCUUUGUCCACCUUUAAUCGGGGUCCGGGCAGGAGAGCGGCUCCCAGCCCUGGGCACGGGUUGGUGUGCCGCUGCUGCCGCUCGGGAAUGGUGUGCUCUCUCCGCAGCUCCGCCGGCGCUCCAUCGGAUUGCCUGGGAAGUCAGCGGGGCUGCCGGGUACCAGGAUAAAGUUCUUGGAAAGGCGUCAUUGCGAGAAGAGUGAGUACUGCACCGUGUGCUGCACGGAGGCUGCGGGGUUUGUUCGGUAACUGCGGACCGGUGGAGCACCGUGUAAGCAUAAUUUAUUGCCUUGUGUUCCUAAAUUACGUCUGAAUUUCACCUGAAUCACUUUUACUUUCUUCAUUGCUGUAGAAUUACGAGCCGACAUAAAACCUUCAGAUGUUUAACCUCUUUUUCAGCAGCCUUGUGUCUCACUCGGGCAAAACUCUUCCAAAUAUCAGGCUGAUUUGUGUUUUUCCUUCCCAGCUGACAGCGCACACAGGGACCACAGUUAAAGCCAGUCACGGAUUCAUUUCCUGCUGGAGUGCCUGAAAACAUUUUCAGAAAUGGAAGGAGAUAAAGGGCAAGGUGCUAAAGCUACCAGUGCAGUGGGUGACCUGAGGAGAAGCUGGCAGACGUGGGCAGAGGAUCACAUUGAGUAUCAGAGGAAGAAUCCCUUCAGCAGCGACGACAGGCUUGCAGCAAAACCUGCGCAUACUCACAGAGGAGACCCCACCUACGGGAGACCCCCCGAAGGGUCCCGGACUGAGCAGAGAGGGAAAGAUGCUCACUCACACGUGGGUAGGGAAGUAGAAGAGCUGUGCUUGGUCAUCAGAAGAACUGGAGAGGUGGGAGAAGAUGGACACGUGAGUGUGACAUUCGGGCAGCUGUUUGAAACAUACGUGACUAUUUCCAAUAAGGUAGUGGGAAUCUUGUUAAGAGCCAGGAAACACGGUCUGGUUCAUUUUGAAGGCGAAAUGCUUUGGCAAGGAAAAGAUGAUGAUGUGGUCAUCACUUUACUACAAUAAGGCUUUGUCCUGGGAUGAACUUUGCUGCGUGGUUCCAUUUGGAGAAUCUAGAUACCAUCUUCACAGGUUUUGCUUACAGAAUUUCAGCUUAGCUACCUACUGGGACACAAGCAGGAGAGGAAAUGGGCAAGAGGAUAAAGCAUAUUUUUGUAAAAAUGGUAGAGAUUUGGACAGAAAUCGCAGAUUAUGAGCUACUCCAUCAUGGUGACAUUGGAUUGUCCUUAUUAUCUGCUACCAAGUAUAUCAGAGUUUUUCAAAUAACUCUGCUGGCUUUUAGGUUACUGAAAUUAUUAACUUGCUACCCUACAACACUGAUUCCUGCAGGUUGUGAAAUACUUACUGCGUGUGAGAAUGGGAUUUGUAAAACAUGGAAUUGAAAACUCCUGUGGGAAUUCAUGUACUUCUUCAAACAAAGAACUUGGUAUAUAGCAAAAGUUUAGGUUCAAUCUCACAUGGUUACACCGAAUAAAUGGAAGUUAUUUUCAUGAACUAGGUGGAAAUUCCCAAACUUACAAAAAUGUCACAGCAAGGAUGCUCGAUGGUUCCUAAAUUAGCUGCAUCUUGCUUGGAUUUUGGACAGUUGCACUAGUUCUGGUAUUUAAUAGUCUAAUCUUAUAAUCAUGUCUUCUCCAAACCUUCUGUGUCUCUUGUUCUUUUUGUUUUCUAUCUCACACCAUUUUUACCUUUUCUGUUCUAACACUUCAGAAGAAGUCCACAAAGCUCUGCAGUCUUUUUGGUGAAUUCAGCUAUACCCCUUCACAGAAGGUAUGGUGCCACAAUGCAAAGAUUCAAAAAUCAACAGAAACUCUGUACAGGGGCACCUGUGCAUUCGUUAGGAGAAAAAAAGGCUCUUCUUUCACCAAAAUGUAACAAUGUUUUUUAUAAGAGGAGAGUAGAGAUACUGUAGUACCAAAUGCAUAAAUGAAAGAAUAACAGCAGUCUCGUACCUCAUUUAUCUGCUUUCAGAGCACAGUUGUGAGCUCUUCAGAAAGAAAAAUAAAGGAUUGGUUAUAUAAAAUAGUUGUAAUAGUGCUAUGAAAAAUAUUCAGAAGCUGUAUUUACAAUAGUUCCCACCAGUGAAGCUGUAUAAUUAGAAAUCCAAAGUUCUGUUUUUUAGCAGUGCAAAUAGAAGCUUCUGUGUGGUGUUAACUACGCUGCUUGAUGAGUCUUUAAAGUAAGAUACUGUCUUGCAUUCAAAAGGAUAUUAAAAUUUAAUAUAAAUUAGGAACUUGAUAAAAGUGAUAUGCAAUUUUAUUCUAUUUAUAUAAAUGACCUUCUAUUGCAAAAAGCCUAAAAGAAUAGGGUUUUGUAUUGAUGUUUUCACCCAAUGAGGAUUUGCAUCAAACUAAGUCUUUGGCUGAGGAUUUCAUUAUUACCCUGCCUCCUUUUUUUCCAGUAAAAGAACAAUGAAAAGAGAAAAAAAAAGAAUAAAUUAAUAUGCUAAAAUAAGUAUAUUUGGGGAAGUGGGCAAUCAAAUGCAGGUAGAGAAUGGGUUUUAAUCCCCACAUUUUAGCACAUUGGAAAAGGGGGAAUAUAUGCUGCACCAGGCAUUCUUGGCGUGUUUCCUUAGAUUUCAAACCUACUGCUUCCCUAAACAGAUCUACAUCUUGCAGCUGAAAAAGAAGACAUGUGGUUUGUGAACUUAACAUACUUAAAAUGCUUUGUUCUUUCUGGAAAAAUACUUCUUGCCAAAUAACAUGAGCACACCUCACAGUAUUUUGGCUCAUGUUAGAGGAAGUCUUUACGUGUAUUCAGAUUUCAACACAAAUUGAGCCUUUUAUAGAGCAGAUACGGAAUGAGUUUUUUUCAAUUCUAAGGAUUCUGAAAUCCACUCAGUUCUGCUGUAGUGUUAGUUCAUAACUUGUAGGAAGCAGCAUUGGGCACUUCAAGUAUCAUAAGCUGACUAAUGGAAUGGCACUAUCAGGAAAAAUAAUACAUUGCUGGACUUUAUACAGAUAAUUCUUUGCAAGACACACGUGAGGCAGUAGGUAGCCUGAGCACCAUAAGAUGCAAGUCCAGCUCACAAAAAUUUACUAGAUUGUAAUUAAGGCUGGCUCAAAUAGUUAAAUAUCAGCAAUCCAGGCUGUCACUGCCAUGUAAGUGGUAGAUCUUGAGCACAUCUACAAGCACUUUAAGUACACCUCUGAUCAAAACAGAAGCAAACCCUUAAUGACACAGUCUUACCUACUUUGUAAGCAACAAAAAAAUCUUGCUCUAUUAUUAUAUUUUUAGUAGAACCAAGGAUUAGUAUAUAACAAAACUAUUAUUUUUAGAGGGAUUUUUUUUAAACAGUUACAGAGCCACGUUUCCAACCUGCCAGCUUUAGAUGAGCAUUCUGGAAAGCGUGACUGAAAUCUUUCUGUGUGCCCAUGCAAUGAUUAUAAACACCGAGCUGCCAAACUGGCUCAGCACACAGGUUGACAAAUCCAGUCUUGUGCUUCCAGCAAUAGCCAGUAUUUUAAAAAAAGACUAAAAGAUAGGUAACAGAACUGGUCAGCUUGCCCACUGGUACAGUCUAGAAUAAAAAAUUACUCCUGAAGCCUGUAUAGUCAUGAAUGCAUUCUAUCUAAUGCACAUGAUUCAGUUUAGCUACAAGUUUUACAAAAUUUUGCUUCAUCUGUGAUUAGAUUAACAUCAACAGAUGAAAUAGGAAUUUAAACUUUUCAACAGGAUUUUUUUUUUCAGCAGGCUCCCAUUAGAGUAAAUGAAAGAGAAUUUAUUAAAUUAUUUUUUGCAAAAAUUGUUGCACGUGGUUUUAGUAUUGCAGAUUAUUUGGAGUAGUAAGUAAACCCCAACCUCUUAAAAAGUGUUCUUGCCCUACUAAGCACCUUUCAGCUGUUUAAAUCUCUCCUAAACUUCACUUUGUGACAGAUUACCUCAGUGGUCUUUCCUCUCCUUCCACUUGAAGCCUGUAAAAUCUGCAUCUGUUUUGGACUGUAAUAUCAUAUAGGGAUCAUCCAUGGUUUGUUUUGUCAAACACUGAAGGCACUGUCACCAUUUCAAUAAAUGUUGCUCAUUAGUUUGAAAUGA